rnacentral:rRNA from 1 species
AACGAACGCUGGCGGCAUGCCUAACACAUGCAAGUCGAACGAGACCUUCGGGUCUAGUGGCGCACGGGUGCGUAACGCGUGGGAACCUGCCUUUAGGUUCGGAAUAACUCAGAGAAAUUUGAGCUAAUACCGGAUAAUGUCUUCGGACCAAAGAUUUAUCGCCUUUAGAUGGGCCCGCGUAAGAUUAGCUAGUUGGUGGGUAAAGGCCUACCAAGGCGACGAUCUUUAGCUGGUCUGAGGGGAUGAUCAGCCACACUGGGACUGAGACACGGCCCAGACUCCUACGGGAGGCAGCAGUGGGGAAUAUUGGACAAUGGGCGAAAGCCUGAUCCAGCAAUGCCGCGUGAGUGAUGAAGGCCUUAGGGUUGUAAAAGCUCUUUUACCCGAGAUGAUAAUGACAGUAUCGGGAGAAUAAGCUCCGGCUAACUCCGUGCCAGCAGCCGCGGUAAU